rnacentral:lncRNA from 1 species
GUUGUAAACACAUUUAUUUUUUCUAGUACUCAUUUGUAUGGGAAAUGCACACGCUAAGAAUUUCGAGUUUAAUGUAUGAAAAAGAAUAUAUUUUUACGACAUCUAUAAACCUGCUAAGGAGGGUCUUUUAGCAGUGUUUCUAUUAAAAUUUUAUUUUGCAUGUGCAUGAAAAGAAUAACUUCUGGCGCAUAUGGAGGCACAUGCAUCUGAAAGGCCCAUAUGCUACAUCGACGACCUGCUCCUUCUUCCUGUCAGUUGGCCGUGUCCCCUCCCCUGUAGCCAUACCCCAUUGCGGAGGAGUGCCGCUGCUUGCAUUCCUCGAUGGCAUGCUCCUUCUCGUAUUGUUAUCCGCCUCUCACCCCCUGCAGCUCCACCCCAGACAGCACAAGGUCACAAUUUAUAUUCAGAGCUAUUUGAAAAGUUUUGGUCCCAAAUUCAUUUUCACUUUUAGUGCCAACAAAAAUAUAGAUCUUCUCUGCAAUUAAUUUACAUGACAUGACGAUGGCAUCAAUUCAUAUCCAUCCAUUAUAACAUGAACAUUUAUAUUUUGUUUUGCGGAAAACAAACUGGACAUAUAACGGAAUAUACUAAACCGAAAUAGAAAAAAAACAUGGCAAUCUCUUUGCAUAAUCUGGAAUGUAAAAAGGCCAUUCUCAAAAGGUAGUUAUUGGUGCUGCCAUAUUCAUUCAUGAAUACUACCUUAUACCAACUAUUAUUAUUUAGCUUUCUUAAGAUAUGCCUCUUUCAUACUCUGCGAAGAACAAAUUAUGCAUGCAUAUCUUCAUGCGUGAUAUGCCUCCUUUAUAUUAAGAAAACGAUUUUUUGCAGGCUUAAACUCCACAUGGUCAGUAGAAUGGGUAUCUAAAAGGACCAAGAUUAUAGCAUCAAAAUGCAAGAACAAAUGUUCAAAAGAGGGAGGAAAAUCACCUUGAUCUUGUUCACCCUUUUAGAUAAAUUCUUCUUCUCUUCAUCCUCAGAUCUGUACACUUCAUGUUUAGAAAACCCGACAAAAAAUCGAACACAAUGCUUAAAGAAAGUGCCAUUGCGGAAUUUAGCAUUUGCCAUUUCACAAAACAGAAAAUCUAAAUAGGAAAAGAAAUAAUGGAGCACCUAUGUAGAAGUGAGAAAACCUUCAACGGAUGAAAAAGGAACAACACCCUCGUAGAUGAAUUCAUUAGAACACAGGGUGGGCUAGAAGUAGAAAUAAAGUAGGUGCAUAAAUAAUUUAAAUUUAAGUGCAGAAAUACAGUAGAAGUAGAAGUAGAAGCAAAAAAAAACUGUAGAUGCAGUAAUCAAACUAAGUACUCCCUCCAUGCUAGGAAAGAAGACACACAAGUUUGUUGGAUUAACUUGGUCAAACUUUACAUUGUUUGACUUUGACCAAAACUGGCAUGCCUUCUUUUGAAGAAGGGAGGGAGUAUUAAAUUUAAAUAUGAAAUGGUGUUGUGGUAAUUAACAAAGUGAGCUGCAGGUACCCAGGAUAAAAAACCUUCCAGCUCAUUGGUGAGAAACCUCACUGAAGCUCCUACGAAUAGGAGGAGGAAGCGGAGGUGGCGCGGAGGCUGUGGCUAGAAUGACGGGAGGUGGACUCACUCCACUCCAUGAACCGCUGCUGCUUCCGCACGCAGACAACAGAAUCACCAUGGCCUUCUUCCUCUGGCCGACCCAGCGCCGUCAUGGUCAUACGCAAGGGAGAGGGAGAGGAUGGGGUUGGUGGUUUCAUGGAGACUGGCGAGGAAGAGAGUUCGAGGAGGGAGCGAGGGAGGGGUGUGGCGUGCGGCGUGCGGGCGAGGGGAUUGGGAUUUCAAGGACAUGGCUUGCCCCACACUCCCGCAAAUGGCGCGACAUGCACGCGGCGCGCAGGGAGAGGGCGCACCUGCAGAUGUUAACUGAAUAAUAUAGUACUCACUAUGAUAAGAAUGAUAUUAGUUAAACACAAAAUACUGUCAGGUUACUUGUUUAGUUUAAGGAACAGUUUAGACCGCAAAAAGAGCAGUAACAGGCAGGUACCUGACUCCUCUCUAUUUCCAGCUAGGCAUAAUUAUUCCAAAGAAAGAAAGCAUAAAUUACUGACACACAAUGUUAGCUAGGCCAAUGACAUAUAUACAUAUGUAACCAACACAAAGGCUAAACCGAUCGACCAUUACUUCUGAUGUUGCAUAAAAUUUCCGACAUGAAAGCAUCUAAGCAUGUUGAGAAAGGAACUUGACGAACUCAUGAGAGAAGAUAUAGCAAAUACAAAUUAUUAAUAGUGAAAUAAGUAUAUAAUUAGUGCAAAAUUCAAGAGUGAGUUCACUCUUUCUUUACCAAACUAUUAUGUGAGAAGGCGUAUUAUAAAAGGCAUAACACACACCAAUCAAUGUAAGAAAGUAAACCGAUGUGUAGGGGCGUUCUAACUCUUAAUCAUGAUUGUACUUGCAGGAUGAAUGUGCCUUCAUAAGACAAACAAAAUCAGAGUUUUGUAGAAGCAAUGGGCAAAGAGAGAGGACACCUAAUUGGCUGAGGCCACGCUAUGUUGCGCCUCCUCACGGUUGACCUUCCUGCUGAGCCGUACUCAUGUUGAAAUAACGAAGUAUAUCACAUCAUUUGUGGUCCAUAUACCCCUAGAAAACAUGAUGACAUCAGUUAAUGGCAUAAACAUAUUUCAAAUAAAUGUGAGCAUAUUUUCUGUAACAACACAAACACCAACACCAAAAUCAGAAGAAACAGAAUUGAUAAUAUGGAAGUGAACUUGGCACCCGAUAAAUUUAACAGGCCAAUAUAUGACAACUCUUCAUGUUGAUAUGGCAAAAAAGCGAUACUUGAAACAAAUAAAUUUAUCUGUAAAAAUGACAUAAGGAAUGUACUCGAUAAGCAUGCUAAGAUACAGUCGAGCAUCGGAUGGGUCAAUUCGAUUCUGAUAUAACAAUUAUGCAGAAAAUAUAGUUCAUAACAGCAUGACAAGUGAAGUGAAAGCAUUAAUAUAUCUGAACACUUCAUCUUUUUUACUGAGAAUUAAUAUUUUAUAUGCUUUUUCUAUUUGCGAAAGAUUUGUAUUCUUUGACCAUUAUAUAUUAUGUCAAAAUAGAAGAUGAUAUACUGAACUUACUAACAAGUGUCAACUUCUUGAUUUAUCAGAGAUCUAACAGAAUGUAAAGGGACAGUUAACAACUUAUUGCUACAAUGUGUGUGUACUGCAUUUAGACAGCAAGUACCAAUCAUUUAGACAGCAAGUACUGAUCAUCGGUCCCAACAAAUGAUGCAAAACAGAAUAAUCAAAUGAACUACUUACCCUCUGGCAAGGUCAGGAGCUAUCUAUAUACCCUGUCCUGGGAUAUAUAGGUCGGCAAAUGCGUACUACCUGUAGUGUUGUCUAGGCUAACAAGGUAAAAUUAUCCACUACAGAAUAACAUUUUAUUUUGCCUUUCAAUUCAUGUGCUUACAGGAUAACACAUGCAUUUUUUUCAACCUUAUGACAGUCCAUAUUUUUUUGAAGAGGGUUUAAAUUGGUUUCCUUUGCGAGCAAUGCAUACAUACAGUUUGGGGAAAUGGGCGAACGUGGAACAACUCCUUGACGAAUCAGUAAUCAAGUGUAACGAAAUGCCAAGGUGAGAAAGAUGGUUGGCAUGUGUCUAAAUCAUUUAGCCUCUCAUUAUUUUGUGCAAAUAGGCUCAAGAACAGGUAUCAUCUAUCAGCCUAUUUAAGUGAGUUUCGUUGUGGAGUGUUCCUUGCUGAUCAGAAGUUUUUUUUCUUUCUAACAUUUGGAAAAGGGACACAUAGCUCAGGAGCACACCACGGAUUCUUACUCAUCCAAAUAAAGGACUUUUUCAGACUUACUCAAUUAUAAUGUGAUAGAUAGAUCACGACUAAGUAUUUUGAAAAGAGAAGUUAUUUUGCCAUCGAAAGAAAAAACACGAGUAAUCCAAACCAAACCAAGAGCUGAGGUUGUGGCGAGCACUCACCUGGACCUUGUCGAGCUUGCCCAUGUUCAUAACCUUGAAAAGGGUGAAUCCAGCGGGCGUCUCAAACAGCAUCAACAUCUCCAACCAAGCCACAACUCAACUCACCUGAAUCGAAGCACAGGCACACAACGAAAUCAAAACAAAGACCAAAAAUUGCAAAAAGACAUGAGAAAUGAUCAGCAGUCAAAUAGUCCCAAAAUGAUACAUUGAGAAAUCUAUAUUGGCCUUAUAGUUCAUAGAAGAACAAGAAACUACAACAUGCAAAAAAUAACACAUGAAUAUUCAAACCUUAGUCCUAUCUGAAGACAUCUUCAGUUGAACAGAGAACCAAUAAUAUGAUCCAUCAAAACCAAAUGCUUUAACAUCGACAUUCUCCUGCACCACAUAAAUGGCACUGAAUCAGCAAAGCAUAGUGUUAAAAGCAUAAUCAAAACAUGUCCACACAACAGGACAACAAGUUCAACAUUUUCAAAUGAUUCAUAGAUUUAGGAGUUGAUAGCCAAAUCACCAGAAUAGAUCAUAGCCAAGAUUAUACACCUAUGCAGUAUACCACACCUCCCGCACCAGAUCUUAUCCCUACAGCACGAAACCCCAAACAUGUGAGCAGAUCGGGCCAAGAGGAAAAAGAAAAACACUUAAAGGGAAGGGGAUCGGGAGACAGGACGGAAAACCCGAGGCGGACGUCCCUGUGCAGCGCCGCCGCUGGCCGUGCCGGCUUCCCUCGCCACCUGCUCCUCUAGUCCUCGUGCAGAGAGAUGGAGUCGGGUUGACCUGCUCCUUCCCCUUGUCCCAGACUGUUGCGCUGCUAGGGGCUAAUGGAGAGGGGAGGAUUGGCAACAAAGGACGCAGCAAGGAGACAAAGACAGGCGGCGGAC